ACCUGUGCUAUCACGAGUAUUCUUCCACGCUUCAAUUGCCACCUGCAUGGGGCAAUUUUAGCAUGUUUAGUGAAUACAGAUAACUAAAAAGAUCAUAGCCUCACAAAAAAGGUAAUAACUGCAUCUCACAGAAUGUUGUAUAAGAACGAGGUCUGCAACAAGAGGAAUUAAAUACCUUUCUAGGAUCAUCUGUCAAUGCAUCUAGUACAUCUUCAGAUCCAUCUAUGCCAGCUGCAACAUGAAGUGGUGUCAAACCUGCAGGCCCUACACAAUCAGGUCUAAACAAGAAUUCUCCGUGAAUCUCAACCAGGGAUUGGUAUUCCAAAGUUAGUUCAUCUGCUACUUUCUCUGGGGUAUAUGUUAAUAGCAAUUCAACCAGAGGCCUCGAAUUCCUACGCACAGCUCUAUGCAGAAGACCCAUCUCAGUAAGAGCAAAUUUCAAGGAAGUACUGUCUCCUGCGCCCACAGUUCCAUCAAGAAGAACGCUCAACAGUUUCUUAACUACUGCACACCAUUCAUGGUCUACGCAGAAAUCAAUAAGCCACUUGAACCGCUUCAAAGGAUAGAGAACCGGGUCAGGACCAAAAUGCUCUAAUCUAGCCUUCAAAUUAUUUCUAUGAAGCAGCCAACCCAGUUCAUGAAUAAAAUCCAUGGCUUGAUUUCUUGCUUCCAUAUUAUUUAUCUGUCCCUUGACAUAAUUAGCUGAAGUUAAAUCUAGUUCACUCUCAAGCAUACGGAUCUCAGAGCAAACAUCUUCCUCUGCAACUAUGAAAGGGAAGAAGCUAUUGCUGAGUCCGUGGUCUUCAACCUGGAUAACCAGAAGAAUCUCAGCAUGACUUGGAGUGUACAUCGCUUGAAUGGGAAUGUCUCAAAUUCUUUUGAAGUUACAAAAUGCAAAACAUUGUGACUGUUACAUGCUAUGCACAUCAUAUAGGCACCAAAUAUCUUUUAUAGCAUAAACACAGUACUGUAGAAAUAAAAGCAACUGAUAUAGCUAAGAUGGUGUGCACAAGACUCACAUUUCUGCAAUAUAUACACUGCCUCAUGGUCAAAUUUUAUAAUUAAGAAAAAAGUGUUAAAUGUCUCCACAUCUCGUACAACAGUAAUUUAUGUAAUCCAUUUGACUUAAGUGUUCUAAAUUUUAUUUUCUCUAUCUCGCAAGGAUAAACUUUUAUUACUCUGUUGGGCCACUUCAGAACUUUUUAAGAGAUCAAAAUCAUUCCAAGCUUCCUCAAGACAGUAAAAAGGUUCCUUUUCAAAAAAUAAAAGAAAAGAGCCGGUACUGACCAAACUUCGCCGGUAACGACAGUGAAAAUGAGAGACAGAAUAAACUCCCCUACUCAAUUUUGGCGAAUCAUGUUCAAAGAGAGAAACAAGAAGAUGAGAAAAGGUUCACCUCAAUAAAUCCUCUUCCAGUAACUGCUGGAACUGAACAUGUGAAAUUCAGGGAUUGGAGCUUAUCAUCCUUAUCAAUGCCAUCAACAUGUUUUUCUACCUCAUUAUUAGCUUCUGGAACCAGGUAAUUACUUUCUAAAGCACAAAGCAACCUGCCAAUAAAAAAUGAAAGCAGAAAAACAAAGACUUAAGUUACUGCACUUCACUAACAUAUUUUGCUAGGAAUAUACCACCAAAAUCCUCCUCAGACGAUUGAUGCAUACCUUGUGGAUGGCUUUGACAAAUUAUAGCCUUUGACUAAAAAUUGAGCUCUCCCAGAUACUGGCACAGCUAUUGGUCUGACACUUAAAAUUGUACUGUGCUCAUUACUCCCAGAGGGCAAGGACAUAUCCAAAAUAACCUGACCUAUAGCACAUAAACAGGACAAAGUAAAAUCUCAGUGAAGGACAGUACUGAUGCAAAAGUCGCCAGAAAAGAUCUAGUGAAGCUGAUUUUAUAUUUUGGGUUUGGGAAGAAUUUUAAAUAGAAAAGACAUUAGAUUUGAACAGACCAUCACAAACAAAUGCGAUUUGGUUCUGCACGCUAAUGUAAAUCCAUCCUUUUGUCCAGAAAUUAUCAUCACCAUGGACAUCCAAAAGCCUACUCAGACUGGAGUUCAGAUCAUAACAAAGCUGUACAAAGCAAUUAAUUUACACGUCAAAUAGUAUUCCACAGACAGCCCACUACAAAAUACAGGAUUUUAAAGAGCAUGCAGUACCUCUUCCCAUGCAGACUCGGGAAGCCUCAGAUAUACUGUUAACACAACACAACCGGGACGAAUGUAGCUUUCAAUCUCAGUAGGACUGUGAGAUAACCAGUCAAGAAUCUGAAAUUUCAAAUAAUUCAAAGAGCAUUUCAGAAAAAAGAAAAAGUAAGACGGAGUUUAAGCCAUCCAGAAACAUACAACAAAAACAAGAACCAUGUGUACUCAAGAAAUGAAAUACCUGAGCUCGUACAACAAAUGGAAAAUCACCAGGAUCUUUUCCGAAUAGUUUAAAAACAAUCCGAUCCGUGCGUGUCUGCAUCCAACAAAAAUAAAUUUUCAGUUCAGGAAAAGAAAGGGAUAUCAAGUUAACUAGUCUUGGUUGUUGUCAUCUUCCUUCUCUUUCAUUUUGUAAGAUACUCAUUCUUUUGUGAUAAGACCACAAACUUGAGCACUGAAAAGUACUAGAUAUAGGUUGGCGGACAUAGUGUUUUAAAAGUCAAAAGCACACAGAAGCGACGGGGUUUGCGAAGCUUGAAGUGCAACGGGAUAAGUGAAACACAUCCCUAGAAGUGACAGUACAAAAUUUAUGAAAGGUCAAAGUACCACAUGCAUAUGAGUGAGUACUAUCACAAACAAGUAUCAAUUGAAAAAACUAAUUUUAGUGUCCGAAAUACAAUGAUGCUGAUAUUAAUCUAACUCCUCAAAGCUGAGAUUCAAAAAAUCGACUGCUUCUUGUUGGUACCACUCAACGCAUCACCUGUUUGAAUCGCACACCUCUCUAAAGCACAUGUCUUUACCAAUGAAGCGAUAACACCUUGCUUCGCAUCACCUUAAGCAACAAAAGAUGACCUUUAAUAAUACUGAGCGAACUGGCAAUUUGAUGACAUCCAACCUUUAUCUAACUACAUAAUGCAUCAUCAAAUAAGACAUUGUGCAAUACUCAGAAACUGGCAUGUUCUUACUGAUCAGAGAAACCAUAUUUAAAUAGUAGUAAGAAUUUAGCUGUCGGUUACUGGAACUAGAGCUUCUAUAAUUGCAGAGCAACCAGCUUGUUCACAUUUCCUAGCAUCAAUCUUGGAGAAACGGGCCAGCAAGGGACAUUUAACAGUUUGAUGAUCAUUUCGAAACCCAGAGAACGAUAAGUAUUGCACUCUUAAUGAAUAUUUUAUUCCCUCGUUUUCUUUCCCCUGUUUUUACUCACUGUGUGAGAAAAGAACAUCGAAGAUAGUUAAAGGCGAAAGAAGGAGAGAUAAGGGAAAUUCAGAGACAACUCAAGACAGAACUUGAUAGAGCGCAGAAGUCAACCUCCAAUGAAAGGACGGGAAAAAAACAGAAAUCACCACAAUUCAGCUUCAGAAAGUUUAUCACAAUGUUAGCGGGAAAUUUCAAAAGCAAGAAUAGACUACCAAAAAAGAGGUGAUCUAAAGACAGAAAAUAGAAACUCAAGUGUUACCACUUAGACAGAUAUUGACUUUAUAAUACUCAGACACCAACAACAACAACAACAACAACUACCCAGUAUAGUCCCACAAAGUGGGGUCUGGGGAAGGUAANNNNNNNNNNNNNNNNNNNNNNNNNNNNNNNNNNNNNNNNNNNNNNNNNNNNNNNNNNNNNNNNNNNNNNNNNNNNNNNNNNNNNNNNNNNNNNNNNNNNACAACUCACCCUACCCGAAAGGGUAGAGAGGCUGUUUCCAAUCGACCCUCGGCUCAGAGAAGGAAAGGAAAAACAAACAAAAACAAAAACAAAAGAGCAUUAGUAAGUCCAGCAGAAAUAGCGUAAUAAUUAACUAAACAUAAGAACCAUAAAUAAAAUAGCAUGCAAUAAUAUCAUAAUACACCAAAUGUAUACAUAUGGAUCUAUAGUUAGCAAGGUAUUCCUCACACAGAAAGAGAGACUUCAUUGAUAGGUUUUAACAGGUUAAAGAAUUCGAGAAAACUAUUACGAUUCAAGCUAUUGCCUCUGUCCCCUUAUCAAACUUAGUCCACUGAAAAAUGUACCAAAUUCUAGGUCUCGGGGUCCAGCAGAGAAAAGGUAACUUGAUCCUACCUUCAGAUAAACCAUUUCAAUAAAAACAAGAGUAUAAAGAAGAAAGUACAGAACGAGAAAAGAAGAAACCAACAAAAUGAAAUUUGCAGCACAUGAAAAACUGAAAAAUCAUACUUAGAUCAUUAUAGGAGUACCUGAGUGUCACCACUGGAACUGGAAGGUGACUGGGCAGAAGCGGAAUCUGAAUUACCACUUGUUUGAGGUGGACUUGACUGGUGAGAGUCCUGCUGUAACCAAGAUGGGCACUGCACAGGGGAUCUAUCUAUAUCUUCUAUAUUGUCAUCCGAAUCAACAUAAACAUCAUUCAAGUCGAAGUCAAUCAACUUGCUCCUUCCAGUGGUAUUUCCCCUGCCUUGUGCAUAAGCUUGAGAAUUGCUUUGAACUGGGGGAAACAAAAUGCCUGGGCUUUGAGAAGAAGCCGUCCGCCCAUCUUCAAGCCUGACAUCAUGUGCAUCUAACCUUUUCUCAGGCAUCUCAGCUGCUGAAUUAGUGAACUGAUGUUCUUUGGCUCUAGGAGGUGCCUGUGAACAAUUUGAGAUCAUGGAAGCUAAUUCUGGAUUUCGAAGGAUUGACCUAUUGUUCAGCAAGUUUGAAGAUUCUUGCAGAAGUCCAGAUAAGCUUUUAUCGCCGUUCAACGAACCCUGGCCGGCAAUGCUUCUUAGUAGAUGGGCCAAAAGGUCCUGAUCUUCAGUCUGGUUAGUUCCGCUGGCUGCAAUAUAUAAAAUUCAUUACUUUGCAGUUAAUUCUAAAGCACAACAGCAACAACUACUACUACCACUAUUCAAUCCCCAAACAAGUUGGGUUUUCGAUUAUGAAUCCUCACUAUAGCAGUAUAGCACAAGAAUUCUCAGAACCAAAAAAUAAUUUAAAACUUUGCAAAUUCAAAACAUAGCAGAAGGAAAACUAGGAAUUACUCACAGUGCAUGUUGGAGAGCAUUUUUAGCAGGCUCAUCAAGGAAUAACCAGUAGCCUGUCCAUCAUUCGAUGAAUUGUUGUUAGCUACAGAUUCUGAUUGUGUCUUUCUCCUCCUUUUAUUAUGCCCAGCUAGGCGUCGACGACAACUUCGUUUUCCUUCAUCAAACUCUUGAAGUGCAUGAAACCUGUGUAUCAAAAGCAGAAUCUUUGGAAUAUAACCAAAAAGGCAAUAUCUCAGGAUGAAGCAGUCAAACACAGAAAAAGAUUAAUCUUUUUUAAAGGGAUUCACAUGACUUACCAUCAAUCAAUUCAUCAAUCAAUCCACUAUUCAAAAUUCACAUAUUAUUCUAAGUCAGUUAUAUUAGUCAUUCAUAUCAUUUCCACUUUUUUCGCACCCAUUUCAUUCUUUUAAUAUGCCGGGCUAGGAUGAAACCCGUGUUUUAUCAAAGCAGAAUCUUUGGAAUAAUAAACACAGAAUUAUUCAGAAAUCAAUAGUCCUAACACAAACAACCAAACGCAGAAAAAGAUCGAAUUUUUUAAAGGAUUCACAAGAAUAGCCAUCAAUCAAUUAAUCAUUCAACUACAACUCAUUCCCAAAUUAUAUAGAUCGGUUAUAUUAGUCAUUUAUAUAAAGUAAAAAAGUAAUACCUGCUGCACUGCUGGCAGAAACGCUGCAUAACAUUCCCAACGAGAGCUCUACUAGCUUUGGAGUGCAUCUCACAAACUUUAUGCCGCCUAUGGUAGUCUUUAGCCUUACUUAGGUCGGUCCCACAAUCAUCAACCUGACAUACAGCUCUUGUAGUACCAGUAACAGGUGCAGGUAGAGCAGCAGCAGCAGCCAAUUUUGUCCUCUUUUCAGCUACAGGCUCAGCUUGUCCACCAAGCUUCAACGAAAGGGUCCCACCGGAAUCAUUUUCAUCAACGACAAUCACCCUUCUCCUUUUCUCCAGUUCCCUCCUCUGUUGAUCUAUCCCGUGAUUUGUUUCCUCUGAACAGGAAGAUGAACUGUUGGAUGAAGCCACCAGAUUCCCAGUUUCGACGGGGAAGAACUGCCUGCUUUGGUAAUUAUUAGAAGGGUUUUGACGAAGAGGAGUGGCAAUAAAAAGAUCUCCGUCCCAUUUCCAAUCAGUUACAUCCCACUCUAAGCUCCUCUUCCCUAAUCCUCGCAGAUCCGGUCCUCCCAUAUGGUAAUAACGCUUUCCCACGCUCGCUUCCAUCUAAGCUCCUUUUUGAGUGUGUGUGCACGCGCGCGUUUGAAGAUCUAAAUCCGGAGAUUUAGGUGAUUGAUGAUCGGACAAGUUUGAAUUACAGAUCAAAAGUCAAAAUUGAGAAGAAAAAAAAGAAGAAAGAUGAAAACUAGGAGAACUAAUCACUAAUCAGCUUCGAUACAGCCCCAAAAGUCGAGUACAAAGAGACGAGAACCAUGAUACCGAUUAACAGCAAGCCACAUACCCACACCAAAUUUCAGCGUUGACUAAGGAAAGGACUCGUGAAUUUGAAGAAUCUAGUACCGGAAAUUAGAUAAUUUAGCUCAACAAAAAAGAAAUAGCUUCUUUUACGGCGGCCAGGAAACGGCGGGAAGAAGGGGGCAGCGGCGACCGACGGUGAAGAAAGGACAAAG
rnacentral:lncRNA from 1 species